CCUACGGGUGGCAGCAGUGAGGAAUAUUGGUCAAUGGGCGCAAGCCUGAACCAGCCAUGCCGCGUGCGGGAAGAAGGAUCUAUGAGUUGUAAACUGCUUUUGUACGGGGGUAAAGGCCGGUACGUGUAUCGGUAUGAACGUAUCGUACGAAUAAGGAUCGGCUAACUCCGUGCCAGCAGCCGCGGUAAUACGGAGGAUCCAAGCGUUAUCCGGAUUUAUUGGGUUUAAAGGGUGCGUAGGCGGCCGGUUAAGUCAGAGGUGAAAUCCUGAGGCUCAACCUCGGAAUUGCCGUUGAUACUGUGCGGCUAGAGUGUAUGUGCGGUAGGCGGAAUGCAUGGUGUAGCGGUGAAAUGCUUAGAGAUCAUGCAGAACACCGAUUGCGAAGGCAGCUUACCAAGCUACUUCUGACGUUGAGGCACGAAAGCGUGGGGAGCAAACAGGAUUAGAUACCCUGGUAGUC
rnacentral:rRNA from 1 species